rnacentral:rRNA from 1 species
GACGAACGCUGGCGGCGUGCUUAACACGUGCAAGUCGAACGGUAAGGCCCUUCGGGGUACACGAGUGGCGAACGGGUGAGUAACACGUGGGUGAUCUGCCCUGCACUUCGGGAUAAGCCUGGGAAACUGGGUCUAAUACCGGAUAGGACCACUGCCUGCAUGGGUGGUGGUGGAAAGCUUUUGCGGUGUGGGAUGGGCCCGCGGCCUAUCAGCUUGUUGGUGGGGUGAUGGCCUACCAAGGCGACGACGGGUAGCCGGCCUGAGAGGGUGACCGGCCACACUGGGACGGAGAUACGGCCCAGACUCCUACGGGGGGCAGCAGUGGGGAAUAUUGCACAAUGGGCGCAAGCCUGAUGCAGCGACGCCGCGUGAGGGAUGAGGGCCUUCGGGUUGUAAACCUCUUUCAGCUAUGACGAAGCGCAAGUGACGGUAGUAGCAGAAGAAGGACCGGCCAACUACGUGCCAGCAGCCGCCGUAA